GCAAGUCGAACGAAGUAGCAAUACUUAGUGGCAGGCGGGUGAGUAACAUGUAGGUAUCUGCCCUAUGGCCUGGAAUAACACGAGGAAACUUGUGCUAAUACCGGAUAAGUCUUUACGGAGAAAGCUUUAUGCACCAUUGGAUGAGCCUGCACUUGAUUAGUUUGUUGGUGGGGUAAUGGCCUACCAAGACUGUGAUCAAUAGCUGAUUUGAGAGGAUGAUCAGCCACAUUGGGACUGAGACACGGCCCAAACUCCUACGGGAGGCAGCAGUGGGGAAUCUUGCACAAUGGAGGAAACUCUGAUGCAGCGAUGCCGCGUGAGUGAAGAAGGCCCUUGGGUUGUAAAGCUCUUUCGUCGGGGAAGAAAAUGACUGUACCCGAAUAAGAAGGUCCGGCUAACUUCGUGCCAGCAGCCGCGGUAAUACGAAGGGACCUAGCGUAGUUCGGAAUUACUGGGCUUAAAGAGUUCGUAGGUGGUUGAAAAAGUUGGUGGUGAAAUCCCAGAGCUUAACUCUGGAACUGCCAUCAAAACUUUUCAGCUAGAGUAUGAUAGAGGAAAGCAGAAUUUCUAGUGUAGAGGUGAAAUUCGUAGAUAUUAGAAAGAAUACCAAUUGCGAAGGCAGCUUUCUGGAUCAUUACUGACACUGAGGAACGAAAGCAUGGGUAGCGAAGAGGAUUAGAUACCCUCGUAGUCCAUGCCGUAAACGAUGUGUGUUAGACGUUGGAAAUUUAUUUUCAGUGUCGCAGCGAAAGCGAUAAACACACCGCCCUGGGGAGUACGACCGCAAGGUUAAAACUCAAAUGAAUUUGACGGGGACCCGCACAAGUA
rnacentral:rRNA from 1 species